UCAUAAAUAUUGAUUUUCAGCUUGCCUCAGCCCUUGACCACCUUGGCUUCUUUGGGGUCAUUCAUGGCGACCUGAAGCCUGAAAACAUCAUGAUGACAGGACAGGGCACUCGAGUCAAAAUUAUUGACUUCGGCUUAUCGAUCCAUGUGUCCAAGGCUAAAAUUGGCCACAAUUUCGGGACCCUCUGGUACAGGUGAGUAACUGACAGCCAUCCUGACUUGGUUGGUUCCUAUUGGUUACUAAUUAGAAUGGUUGCUCCAAUUUCCUAUCUUUCUUUCAUUUCAGAUCCCCAGAGGUAAUGCUGGGUCUACCAUAUUCAGUUAUGACUGAUAUGUGGUCCCUGGGUUGCCUGACAGCCGAAUUGUUAAUUGGACGCCCCAUUUAUCCCGGCUACACAGAGUAUGAUAUGUGGGCAUACAUCAUUCAGACCCAUGGUGAGCUUCCGGAUACUAUGCUGGAACAAGGCAUCAGAACACCUUUGUGCUUCACCAAAGGAUCGCUCUGGAGACUCAAGACAAAACGGGAGUAUUUGAAGAGUACGAGGAGCAAGGGGCUCAGGAAGGACCGGCCCAGAUCUUCCUUUUUCAACUCCCUGGAGGAGGUUGUCGAAGUAGGUGUUGAUCCAGUCACGUUGUAGACUUAAAUGCACUGGCCAUGU